GGGAGGGGUGGUCCAGGUGUACCGAGUCAGCUGCGCGCUACAGUUGGGUUGAGUAAAACAUUUUGGCUGUACCUUCAUUCCUGGUCUUCCUGGACACCUGGACUGUCGGAGUACAGAUAUGCCAGAAGCACAGGGCACCACCUUACCUGUUUAAGGUACCCAAGAAGGAAUGGAAAGUGAGCAAGUGGUGGAGGCGGGCGUUACCAGAAGGUGUGCUGAUGUUGGAUUUUAGUUGACUCUCUGCUGCAGACAGCUCCUUUCUCGGGAGAUGGAGGAUGCGUGUGACCAGUGGAGACCACGAAUGAGGCUUCCUGGACUGACUCACCCACCCUGGCGGGCAUCUGUACUUACCGUGAGCUCCCAACCCACUCUUGUGCUAGUGCCUCUUUGCCUCACCCCAGUACACCUAUCCAAAGUGACAAUCCUAAAUUCCAGAUUCGUUUACGCCACUCUACUUUUAUUAUAAAGUGCUUCCUGAUACUA